UACGAAGGGAGCUAGCGUUGUUCGGAAUUACUGGGCGUAAAGGGCGCGUAGGCGGAUUUCCAAGUCGGGGGUGAAAUUCCAGGGCUCAACCCUGGGACGGCCUUCGAUACUGGGAGCCUGGAGAUCGGGAGAGGUGAGUGGAAUUCCGAGUGUAGAGGUGAAAUUCGUAGAUAUUCGGAGGAACACCAGAAGCGAAGGCGGCUCACUGGCCCGAGACUGACGCUGAGGCGCGAAAGCGUGGGGAGCAAACAGG
rnacentral:rRNA from 1 species